AAACCCCAGAAAUCCUUUUGUUGGGGGAUAAGUGGGAGAGCGGUGGAUUUUGUAUGGAGCCGCCGAGUUCGAGACCGGAGGAGCCUCCGUCAUGGGAGGACCUUUACAAAAUUAACUUAAUGCCGUCGGAGCUAUUCGUCAAGUUCCGCAAAGAGCUUCAAGGCCUUCGCGUUGGUGUCAAUCUAGAGUUAUACAACGAACCUACGAAUGAUUACCACGCAAAGCUUGUUUUGAAGCCUCUAUGUCCAGAAAGGAAGUGGAAGUUUAUAUAUGAGCCACUACACCAAGAAGUUCGCGUUUUAUCAAAGAAGAUUCCUCUAACCAGAUUCCUAAACCUCCAGGUUGGUGUUGGACAUAAUUUUCAAAUGAAUGCAAUUGGUUGGAAAUGGAAGCUUACCACAUGUUUGGGUGGGGAUGGUGUGUCUCGGAUUCGAAACAAAACUAUGCUUGGUCUUAGUCCUGGUAUCGAUUUCCGGUUUGGAUGGAGAGCUGAUUUUGUACUCCCAGAGGUUACUGGGCAAGUCACAAAUCUUCAUGGCCCUUGGUACUGAGGAACCGUUAUUCAACAUGAGCUCCGGGCGUUUAGAGGCAUCACUGGACAGAGUAGAGGCCAUUAUAACCCAUUCAGAUUAUCUAUAACCAAUCAGUACUACUCUUCGUGAUGGGCAUGCUUGAAGGAACAAACAUUGCGAUAGCAAGGAUGAGAUGUUGACAAUAUCACAAGGCAAACAUGUGAAAGCACAAGCACUAUGGUGUUCACAACCGAAACAUAAGAAUAUCCAUAAGAUUUUGUUUUACAGAGAUGCUGAAAGCACAACCACUUGUGGGUAGUUUCAUGUCAGUUAUACGAUUCAGUAAUCACUAGUUUGAUGGACGUUCAUGCAAUAAAUGUAAAGAAAUGUAUAAUCGUUGGAUCUUUAAUGCAAGUUAGGUAGAGAGAUAUAUGCAUUUUUCUAACCGAA